GAUGAACGCUGGCGGCGUGCCUAAUACAUGCAAGUCGAGCGAACAGACGAGGAGCUUGCUCCUCUGACGUUAGCGGCGGACGGGUGAGUAACACGUGGAUAACCUACCUAUAAGACUGGGAUAACUUCGGGACACCGGAGCUAAUACCGGAUAAUAUAUUGAACCGCAUGGUUCAAUAGUGAAAGACGGUGUUGCUGUCACUUAUAGAUGGAUCCCCGCCGCAUUAGCUAGUUGGUAAGGUAACGGCUUACCAAGGCAACCAUGCGUAGCCGACCUGAGAGGGUGAGCGGCCACACUGGAACUGAGACACGGUCCAGACUCCUACGGGAGGCAGCAGUAGGGAUUCUUCCGCAAUGGGCGAAAGCCUGACGGAGCAACGCCGCGUGAGUGAUGAAGGUCUUCGGAUCGUAAAACUCUGUUAUUAGGGAAGAACAAAUGUGUAAGUAACUAUGCACGUCUUGACGGUACCUAAUCAGAAAGCCACGGCUAACUACGUG
rnacentral:rRNA from 1 species